CCUGUUUAUUAAAAACAUGGCUUUUUGAUAAUAAUUUAAGGUCUAGCCUGCCCAAUGAGUUUUAAAUGGCCGCAGUAUUUUAACUGUGCAAAGGUAGCAUAAUCAUUAGUUUUUUAAUUGAAAGCUGGAAUGAAAGGUUGGAUGAGAAAAUUACUGUCUCUAUUUAAAUUAUUAGAAUUUUAUUUUUAAGUGAAAAAGCUUAAAUAUUUAUAGAAGACGAGAAGACCCUAUAGAGUUUUAUAAAAUUUUAAUAAAAUUGUAUUUAGGAUUUUAAUAUUUAUUUAGGAUUUUAUUUAGUUGGGGUGACUGAAAAAUUAAAUUAACUUUUUCUUUAUAAAAACAUUUAUUUAUGAAUAAUUGAUCCUUUUAUAAGAUUAAAAGAUUAAAUUACCUUAGGGAUAACAGCGUAAUAUUUUUUUAGAGUUCUAAUCGAAAAAAAUGGUUGCGACCUCGAUGUUGGAUUAAAAUUAAUUCUUAGUGCAGAAGUUAAGAAAUUGGGUCUGUUCGACCUUUAAAAUUUUACAUGAUCUGAGUUUAAACCGGUGUGAGCCAGGUCGGUUUCUAUCU
rnacentral:rRNA from 1 species